AUUAUUUUGGCAGAAUUUAUGCGUAGAUUUUAGAAAUCUAUAAUUUUUAUGUAUAUAAAC
rnacentral:tRNA from 1 species